rnacentral:rRNA from 2 species
GAGCUUCCGUUGAAUGACGUGCUUGCACUGAUUUCAACAAUGAAGCGAGUGGCGAACUGGUGAGUAACACGUGGGAAAUCUGCCCAGAAGCAGGGGAUAACACUUGGAAACAGGUGCUAAUACCGUAUAACAACAAAAUCCGCAUGGAUUUUGUUUGAAAGGUGGCUUCGGCUAUCACUUCUGGAUGAUCCCGCGGCGUAUUAGUUAGUUGGUGAGGUAAAGGCCCACCAAGACGAUGAUACGUAGCCGACCUGAGAGGGUAAUCGGCCACAUUGGGACUGAGACACGGCCCAAACUCCUACGGGAGGCAGCAGUAGGGAAUCUUCCACAAUGGACGAAAGUCUGAUGGAGCAAUGCCGCGUGAGUGAAGAAGGGUUUCGGCUCGUAAAACUCUGUUGUUAAAGAAGAACACCUUUGAGAGUAACUGUUCAAGGGUUGACGGUAUUUAACCAGAAAGCCACGGCUAACUACGUGCCAGCAGCCGCGGUAAUACGUAGGUGGCAAGCGUUGUCCGGAUUUAUUGGGCGUAAAGCGAGCGCAGGCGGUUUUUUAAGUCUGAUGUGAAAGCCUUCGGCUUAACCGGAGAAGUGCAUCGGAAACU